GUCGAAGGGCUGGACUGAGGCCGUGGUCGAGACUGAGACGGAGGCCGUGUGAGAGUGAGUCGAGACUGAGAGAAUGGACUGAGGCCGUGGUCGAUCGGAGACUGAGGCCGUGGUCGAGACUGAGACGGAGGCCGUGUGAGAGUGAGACGAUCUGAGAGAAUGAGACAGAGCCCGUGGUCGAUCUGAGAGAAUGGACUGAGGCCGUGGUCGAUCGGAGACUGAGGCCGUGGUCGAGACUGAGACGGAGGCCGUGUGAGAGUGAGACGAUCUGAGAGAAUGAGACAGAGCCCGUGGUCGAUAUGAGAGAAUGGACUGAGGUCGUGGUCGAUCGGAGACUGAGGCCGUGGUCGAGACUGAGACG
rnacentral:lncRNA from 1 species